AAAGAUGACAUUAAAUUUCUAUAUAUACAUAUAUUAAUUGAUUUCAGAGAGGAAGGGCGAGGGAGAGAGAGGAACAUCGAUGAUGAGAGACAAUCAUGGACCGGCUGCCUCCUGCACGCCCCACACUGGGGAUGGAGCCCGCAACCCGGGCCUGUGCCCUGACCGGGAAUUGAACCGGGACCUCCUGGUUCAUGGGUCAACGCUCAACCGCUGAGCCGUGCGGCGGACUCCACCAAAUUUAUAUCUUUAGCUUCAGCUUUUCCCAGAGGUUCAGGAGACAGUAUGUUUCCAUCUGCCUGGCUGGGCGAGGUGGCUUUCCCAGUCACACAGAGGAAACCUUCCUGAACACAAACAUUUUUUUUCUCCCUGAAAACCAGUCUUUCCACUUUGACUUUUUGGUACAGUGGCACUGCUUUCUCGUAAUCUCAGAAUUGACACUUUUUAGUCACCUUGGCUCGGUUUUCUCUUGCCUUCUGUCCGUGCCCAGUAAGUCACCAAGCCCUGCAGCUCUUUCCUCAUGUACACUAGGGCACCUCUCCCUGUGUACCCAGAUGUGCUUUGUGUCAGACCUUGGUUGUUUCAGGAGUCUCUUCACUGGGCUCCUGCCCUGACCUGCUAGCCCAGGGGUGGGCAAACUUUUUGACUCGAGGGCCACAAUGGGUUCUUAAACUGGACCGGAGGCCGGAACAAAAGCAUGGAUGGAGUGUUUGUGUGAACUAAUAUACAUUCAAAGUAAACAUCAUUACAUAAAAGGGUACGUCUUUUUUUUUUUUUUUUUUUUUAGUUUUAUUCAUUUCAAAGGGCCGGCCUGGGCCGUAGUUUGCCCACGGCUGUAUCCUAAUCCAGUGUCAUGGCCUUCAUUGUCCCCAAAGAUCCGUUUACCAUGUCAGUCAUUCUCAUGCUCUAAAACCUUUAAAGGCACAGUUACUUUUCUUUUUUAAAAUAUAUUUUAUUGCCGAAACCGAGGAAGGGAAAGAGACAGAGAGAGAAACAUCAAUGAUGAGAGAGAAUCAUUGGUCAGCUGCCUUCUGCACGCCCCCUACUGGGGCUCGAGCCCACAACUCGGGCAUGUGCCCUUGACCAGAAUCGAUCCUCGGACCCUUCAGUCCACAGGCUGAUGCUCUCUCUACUGAGCCAAACCAGCUAGGGCUCCAGUUACUUUUCAGAAAUCUCACAGUAAAAAUAGCUGGGUGCUUACAUAUCCUAUGUGUUUUCUAUGCAUUGUCUCACCUAGUCCAGACAACAACCCUCUGAGAGUUAUACUAGUAUUAUCCCAACUUCGAGGACAUGAUAGUGCAGGGAGAUUAAAACUUGACCAAGGACACACAGGUGGAAUUGUGCUCAGAUCUGUCUGACUCCACAAAGCCCACAGUGAAGAAUUUUGCUUUAAAAGUUGGGCUCUGGUAUUAAAUCUCAAUUCUCUAUUUACCAGUGAAUAAAAUACCUACCUCACAGCACUACUGUUAGGAGUAAAUGAGGUAAUAAAAACAGAAGCCACUUAGUGCAGUGAUUGGCACAUGGCAAAUCUCCCAUAGUGCUGUUAUUAAUAGUAGCUACCCCGUUUGGCUCAGUGGAUAGAGCAUCUGCCUGUGAUCUGAAAGGUCCCAGGCUCGAUUCCGGUCAAGGGCACAUGCCCGGGUUGUGGGCUCGAUCCCCAGUGGGGGGAUUGCAGGAGGCAGCCGGUCAGUGAUUCUCUCUCAUCAUUGAUGUUUCUCUCUCUCUCCCAUUUCCUGGUGGGUCAUCAGAUGCAUUUGGAGAGCAGUGCAUCCUAGUGGUUAAGAGUGUGGACUUUGAAAUAAAAAACAAACAAAGAAAAAGAAG